ensembl:snoRNA
AUCCUUUUGUUCACAAGUGUAAUGAUUGGGGUGUUACACUUAUGUGUGAGAUGUGUCCCUCCCUCAAACUUUGUUAUGACCUCAGCACCACAACCUGUCUACCA